rnacentral:rRNA from 1 species
GACGAACGCUGGCGGCGUGCUUAACACAUGCAAGUCGAACGGAAAGGCCCUGCUUUUGUGGGGUGCUCGAGUGGCGAACGGGUGAGUAACACGUGAGUAACCUGCCCUUGACUUUGGGAUAACUUCAGGAAACUGGGGCUAAUACCGGAUAGGAGCUCCUGCUGCAUGGUGGGGGUUGGAAAGUUUCGGCGGUUGGGGAUGGACUCGCGGCUUAUCAGCUUGUUGGUGGGGUAGUGGCUUACCAAGGCCUUGACGGGUAGCCGGCCUGAGAGGGUGACCGGCCACAUUGGGACUGAGAUACGGCCCAGACUCCUACGGGAGGCAGCAGUGGGGAAUAUUGCACAAUGGGCGGAAGCCUGACGCAGCAACGCCGCGUGCGGGAUGACGGCCUUCGGGUUGUAAACCGCUUUCGCCUGUGACGAAGCGUGAGUGACGGUAAUGGGUAAAGAAGCACCGGCUAACUACGUG